rnacentral:rRNA from 2 species
GCGACCCCAGGUCAGGCGGGGCUACCCGCUGAGUUUAAGCAUAUC